GCGAAUACUCCACGGAAUAAAGGAAGAAAAUUCUUUGGGUGUGCGAACUUUAAAGAGGUAAAUUAGGUCUUGUAUUUUGGUCUGUCAUAGUUAGGUGUGUGAGAAACAUAGGGUUUUUUUAUUUUAGUUGAAGAUUUUGUGUAUUGACAUUUCAUUACAAUUUGGGUUGAAGAUAUAUUCUGAGAUUUUUCAUAAUCUAAAUUUGUUUCGAUGGGUUAAAGGUAACAAUGAUGGUUUGAAGUUCAUGGAGAAAACAUGUUUAAAUAGAAUCAUCAUAUAAAGGAUCAUUGGAAAUACAAAAUCAGAUUGACAUCAACAAAAUAGAAUCAUCAAAUUAUCCAUAGCAUGUUAACUAAUUGAACCCAAUUGAGAGGUAUAAGCAACAAAAUAGAAUCCAAAACUCAUUCACGAAAUCAGCUUGACAUCAACAAAACAUGUUUGCUUAGGAUUUUGGACUAAACAUCAACCAUCCCCAUAGCUUAGUAUUGUGUUUGAGUGGAUAUUUGGACUUAGUUUUUUUUGUGUUUCUAUUUUCUUGAGUCCCACCAGCAAUUUGAAUGUUGCUGCUUCCUUUCCUUUUAUUGGUGCACUUGGUUGGGACAGUUACUAUGGUUUCCCCUAUCAUACCAGGCAGCAAUGCAAUGACACAUAAUAAAAAACAUGUCCCCAAAAUACAAUAAACAAAACAAGAAUUGUUAUACAAUUUAACAAUUGGUAACUUACAUUCGAAAUUUGUAUCCUCUAAUUAGUGUAUAACCCAAUCCCUUGCCAACUUGUUUUCCCCUGUUACGAAUCUUGUAAGUAUUUGCUAUGUUGAAGAGGUUGGCAUGGUAGAAGGAGUUGGUCGUGUUGAAGGAGCUGGUGGUGUCUGUAAUAGAUGUUGUAACAUUAGUCUAAUAGUAUGAAAGAAUAGUUAAUAAAAGUCUUGAAAAGAUUACCAUAAUAGAUGUAAUUGUAGCAUGAUUUGGGGCUGAACGAUAUGCUAUUGUUGGUCUUGGUACAAAUAAGGGUGAUGUUGUUGGAGCUAAUAAUGAUAAUGCAAAUGCUUUGAAUGCAGAUGUUUGAGCAAGAGCUGGUGGAGGUAUACUAUACAAAAUUCACAUAUUAGGAGUUCUCAAAUUAGCUAACAAUUACAUUAAAAUUUUUAGUCAUGAAAACACUUAAGUAGAUGAAGUUUGACAGCUUCUGGAGUUGUGUCCAACCAUGAAACAUUUGUGGCAUUUUAUCUUUCUCUCUUUUCUAGACAGUUUACUCCCGCUCCUCUCUCUCUCACUUCUUUUACUUUGUUUUUUUU
rnacentral:lncRNA from 1 species